CUGUCACCAAAAGCAGUUUCAACAAAAGCAAAAAGUGACUAAUGGGAUCUAAUUAAACUAAAGAGCUUCUGCACAGCAAAAUAAAUUAUCAAUAGAGUAAACAGACAACCUACAAAAUGGGAGAAAAAUUUUGCAAACUAUGCAUCCUACAAAGGUCUAAUAUCCAGCAUCUGAAAGGAACUUAAAUACAUUUACAAGAAUAAAAACAAACAACCCCAUUAAAAAGCCAUCAAAGGACAUGAACAGACACUUUUCAAAAGAAAAUAUACAUGCAACCAAUAAGCAUAUGAAAAAAAGCUCAACAUCACUGGUCAUUAAAGAAAUGCAAAUCAAAACCACAGUGAGAUACCACCUCACACCAGUCAGAAUGAUGAUGAUUAAAAAGUCAAAAAAUAACAAAUGCUGGCAAGGUUGCAGAGAAAAAGAAACACUUCUACACUGUUGGUAGGAGUGUAAAUUAGUUCAACCAUAGCGGAAAGUAGUGUGGUGAAUCCUCAAAGAGCUAAAAACAGAACUACCAUUCAACCCAGCAAUCCUGUUACUGGAUAUAUACCCAAAGGAAUAUAAAUCAUUCUACCAUAAAGACACAUGCACUCGUAUAUUUAUUACAGCACUAUUCACAAUAGCAAAGACAUGGAAUCAACCUAAAUGCCCAUCAAUGGUAGACUGAAUAAAGAAAAUGUGGUAAUAUCCAUCAUGGAAUACUAUACAGCCAUAAAAAAGAACGAGAUCAUGUCCCUUGCAGGAACAUUGAUGGAGCUGAAGGCCAUUAUCCUUAGAAAACUAACAUAGGAACAGAAAACCAAAUACCGCAUGUUCUCACUUAUAAGUAGGAGCUAAAUGAUGAGAACACAUGAACACGUAGAGGGGAACAACACACACUGGGGCCUACCAGAGAGUGGAGGGUGGGAGAAGUGAGAGGAUCAGGAAAAAUAACUAAUGGGUACUAGGCUUAAUACCUGGGUAACAAAAUAAUCUGUGCAACAGGCUGGGCACGGUGGCUCAUGCCUGUAAUCCCAGCACUUUGGGAGGCUGAGGUGGAUCACGAGGUCAGGAGAUGGAGGCCAUCCUGGCUAACACAGUGAAACCCCGUCUCUACUAGAAAUACAAAAAAAUUAGCCGGGCGUGGUGGCAGGGGCCUGUAGUCCCAGCUACUCGGGAGGCUGAGGCAAGAGAAUGGCGUGAACCCGGGAGGCGGAGCUUGCAGUGAGCAGAGAUGGCGCCACUGCAUUCCAG
rnacentral:lncRNA from 1 species